UAUGCAGAUAUGCAAUGGCAAGCCCUUCCGUGUGUCCCAAAGACAAUGCCUAUACCUAGCCACAGCAGCUCCCUCAUACAGACUCCGCAAGCCAAGAGGCCAUGGAGGCAAAUGCAGGCAGCCAGCACACCUCGAACAGCCACCUUGACUGCGGGUGUGUCACCCUAGUCGCCAAGGGAACAUUUGAGGGAAAGCGACAGGCAAAGUGAAGAGCCACUUCUCCAUGUAAAUGAUACUCUUUCUCUCAGAUGACUCCUACGCCUCGCCACGCCAGCUCACUUGUGCACAAAGAUGUAGCCGAGGCACGUGCAGGUCAGAGGCAAGAAGCAGUGGCACUGGUGUAGACAUUCACCCAUUUUC
rnacentral:lncRNA from 1 species